rnacentral:rRNA from 1 species
GAUGAACGCUAGCGGCAGGCUUAAUACAUGCAAGUCGAGGGGUAGCAAGAUUGUAGCAAUACAAUUGUUGACGACCGGCAAACGGGUGCGGAACACGUACACAACCUUCCUACAAGUGGGGAAUAGCCCAGAGAAAUUUGGAUUAAUACCCCGUAACAUAGCGAUGUGGCAUCACAUUGCUAUUAUAGCUUCGGCGCUUGUUGAUGGGUGUGCGGCUGAUUAGAUAGUUGGCGGGGUAACGGCCCACCAAGUCUACGAUCAGUAGCUGAUGUGAGAGCAUGAUCAGCCACACGGGCACUGAGACACGGGCCCGACUCCUACGGGAGGCAGCAGUAAGGAAUAUUGGUCAAUGGACGGAAGUCUGAACCAGCCAUGCCGCGUGCAGGAAGACGGUCCUCUGGAUUGUAAACUGCUUUUGUUAGGGAAGAAACUUCCGUACGUGUACGGGACUGACGGUACCUAAAGAAUAAGGAUCGGCUAACUCUGUGCCAGCCGCCGCCGUAAAAC